rnacentral:rRNA from 1 species
AGGGUCCGCAUUGUAAUUUGUAGAGGAUGAUUCGGCGAGGGCUCCCGCCUAAGUCCCCUGGAACGGGGCGUCAUAGAGGGUGAGAAUCCCGUAUGCGGUGGGCUGCCUUAGCCAUGUGAAUCUCCUUCGACGAGUCGAGUUGUUUGGGAAUGCAGCUCUAAAUGGGAGGUAAAUUUCUUCUAAAGCUAAAUACCGGCCAGAGACCGAUAGCGCACAAGUAGAGUGAUCGAAAGAUGAAAAGCACUUUGGAAAGAGAGUUAAAAAGUACGUGAAAUUGUUGAAAGGGAAGCGCUUGCAACCAGACUUGUCCGCAGUUGCUCAGCCGGUCUCCUGACCGGCGUACUCUUCUGCGGCCAGGCCAGCAUCAGUUCGGGCGGUCGGAUAAAGACCUCGGGAAUGUAGCUCCUCUCGGGGAGUGUUAUAGCCCGGGGUGGAAUGCGGCCAGCCUGGACUGAGGAUCUCGCUUCGGCAAGGAUGCUGGCGUAAUGGUUGUAAGCGGCCCGUCUUGAAACACGGACC